ACGCUGGCGGCGUGCCUAAUACAUGCAAGUAGAACGCUGAAGAGAGGAGCUUGCUCUUCUUGGAUGAGUUGCGAACGGGUGAGUAACGCGUAGGUAACCUGCCUUGUAGCGGGGGAUAACUAUUGGAAACGAUAGCUUAUACCGCAUAACAAUGGGUGACACAUGUCAUUUAUUUGAAAGGGGCAAUUGCUCCACUACAAGAUGGACCUGCGUUGUAUUAGCUAGUAGGUGAGGUAACGGCUCACCUAGGCGACGAUACAUAGCCGACCUGAGAGGGUGAUCGGCCACACUGGGACUGAGACACGGCCCAGACACCUACGGGAGGCAGCAGUAGGGAAUCUUCGGCAAUGGGGGCAACCCUGACCGAGCAACGCCGCGUGAGUGAAGAAGGUUUUCGGAUCGUAAAGCUCUGUUGUAAGUCAAGAACGAGUGUGAGAGUGGAAAGUUCACACUGUGACGGUAGCUUACCAGAAAGGGACGGCUAACUACGUGCCAGCAGCCGCGGUAAUACGUAGGUCCCGAGCGUUGUCCGGAUUUAUUGGGCGUAAAGCGAGCGCAGGCGGUUUGAUAAGUCUGAAGUUAAAGGCUGUGGCUCAACCAUAGUUCGCUUUGGAAACUGUCAAACUUGAGUGCAGAAGGGGAGAGUGGAAUUCCAUGUGUAGCGGUGAAAUGCGUAGAUAUAUGGAGGAACACCGGUGGCGAAAGCGGCUCUCUGGUCUGUAACUGACGCUGAGGCUCGAAAGCGUGGGGAGCGAACAGGAUUAGAUACCCUGGUAGUCCACGCCGUAAACGAUGAGUGCUAGGUGUUGGAUCCUUUCCGGGAUUCAGUGCCGCAGCUAACGCAUUAAGCACUCCGCCUGGGGAGUACGACCGCAAGGUUGAAACUCAAAGGAAUUGACGGGGGCCCGCAC
rnacentral:rRNA from 1 species